rnacentral:lncRNA from 10 species
GGUAUGAGAGUCAUUUGUGGCAUAACUUCAACAGACAUGACAGGGCUGACUUUGAGUUGAAUUAUAAAAUUUCCAAAUGAGGAUGUCCAGGAACCAGAUAGACACGUGAGUUAGAAGCUCAGAAAGCAGGUCACCAUCACCUCUUAUCUGAUCAUUGCAACACUUGCUUACUUGUCCUCCUAUCACCAGAUCUGGCUCCUGACAAUUCACCUUGCGUAAUGAGAGGGAUAAAAACCUUAUAUAUGAAACUUUCACUAAUAACCUGAAACAUCACCACAGAGACAGUUGGGUUAUCCUGUUUGUUUGGACAUCCACUUAUUCACUUGAAAUGCAGGAAAUCUAUUUGAAAAAAACAAAACAAAACAUGAUCAGUUACUUGAUACAAUCAUGAGAUGUGAUCGAGAAAAACUUAUUAAGGAAUUAUUUUGUCAGAGUCAGUCUCUCUCAACAAGGUAAGCUACUUUUUCAAUGUUUCUGAUUAGAGUAGAUCCUUGAUGUUUAUUAUCAGUGUCAUCAUCAUUAAUGAAAAUAGUACGAGAAUAUACAAAGAUGCAUAAGUGAGUAAUGGUGUAACAUUCUAACAUUUCUAAGAUGUGAAUUUGGAUCUUGCCAUGCAAGAUCGAAA